AACGCUGGCGGCGUGCCUAACACAUGCAAGUCGAACGAAGCUCUUUCAAUGCGAUUCGUCAAGUUGAAAGGAUGACUUAGUGGCGAACGGGUGAGUAACGCGUGAGCAACCUGCCCCGGAGUGGGGGACAACAGUUGGAAACGACUGCUAAUACCGCAUGAUAUAUACUAACGGCUAUCGUUGGUAUAUCAAAGAUUUAUUGCUCUGGGAUGGGCUCGCGUCUGAUUAGAUAGUUGGCGGGUAACGGCCCACCAAGUCGACGAUCAGUAGCCGGACUGAGAGGUUGAACGGCCACAUUGGGACUGAGAUACGGCCCAGACUCCUACGGGAGGCAGCAGUGGGGAAUAUUGGGCAAUGGGGGGAAACCCUGACCCAGCAACGCCGCGUGAAGGAAGGAGGCCUUCGGGUUGUAAACUUCUUUUGUUGAGGACGAAGAAAGUGACGGUACUCGACGAAUAAGCUACGGCUAACUACGUGCCAGCCGCUGC
rnacentral:rRNA from 1 species